UACGGGGGGGGCAAGCGUUAGGCGGAAUCACUGGGCUUAAAGCGUGUGUAGGCGGAUGCCUAAGUACCUUGUGAAAUCCCACGGCUCACCCGUGGAACUGCUUGGUAUACUGGGUGUCUUGAGCCACUUAGGGGCUACCGGAACAAAUGGUGGAGCGGUGAAAUGCGUAGAUAUCAUUUGGAACGCCAACGGUGAAAACAGGUAGCUGGGAGUGUGCUGACGCUGAGACACGAAAGCCAGGGGAGCAAACGGG
rnacentral:rRNA from 1 species